UCUCGGCAGCGAACGGGAAGAGGGGGAGGAUGGAAGAAGGGCGCGUGGAUGGCAGCAGCGGCGAAAACCGUGGACGCGACCUAGCAAAUCCUCGCGCCUCCACGCAAAUUCACCCCUCCGCCCUGACCUGGUCCUCUUCUCCCCUUCCACGUCGACAGAGGGCUCCGAUAGAGGACGACUGCAGGUCGCUGAGGCAAAGCACAAAUGACGGCCACGACUCUGUGUUGUUGGCGGCCGCGCUCCGGAUCUGGGCAGGGAGGGCCCGAGCAUAAUUGCCAGGCAGUGAGGCAACCGCCGGCGACGGCCAUGGCUCCAGGUUGUUCAUGACCACCAUCGGCAUCCACGCUCCGGAUCUGGGCAGGGAGGGACCGAUAUGGGGUUGGAGAUUUGGGCCCAUGGCGUGGCGGCGUGUCCUCUCCAUGGGUUUCAAAAAUUCGAGUACAUGAAUUCUCUGCAAGCACUAUGCAUUAUGUGGAUUUUUAUCUUAGGUACAUUUUUCUUUCCAACAAAGGUACACACAUAUUUCUUCAUGGAUCCAACUACAUGAACAUGGAGGAAGUUGAUCAUACAGUCAUCAUAGUUUACUGAACUGGGCUAUGUUCUUGUUGGGAGACAUAUUGAGGAUAAAGGAAAAGGUAGAUCACGAUGACGAGCACGGCGAGCUGCGGAGGAACAUGGCAAGCUACGACGAAGCACGGCGAGCUGCAGAGAAGCAUGGCGUGCUACCGAGGAGCAAUGACGUCUCAGACAUGUUCGCAGGAGCUCCACAAGUUCCGGGCGGAUGGAGGCAGUGAGUGACUGGCGGCUGGGGAGGAGGAGCACGGGUGGGUGCGGCACCUGGCCGAGGCAGCGGCGUGCACCUGAUCACUUGAGGCGGAGAGGGCUUCAGCGCUGGAGGCGUGCACCUGCCCAGCUCGAGGUGGAGAUAGUGGGGUGUUCGCCCAACGUGGGGGUUUCAGCUUUAAAUAUUGGAAAUUAACCAUCACUUCGCUCAUCUUGGCAUUGUGCCAGAUUGAAAUCACCUCACCCGAAGUUGCGCCUCAGCUCAACAUUGCCACGCCUGAAUAUCUGCUCCAGCUCGGCAGUGGAAACACAGCAGCUGCUCGACGGCACACACUCAGUUCAAGAUACACCGGGUGAAACAAGAAAUUGGGGAUGAACUCCGCAACAGGAGGAACACAUAAUGUCAGCUUGCAGAUUUUGAAUGUUGUCAGCACUGGGAGUGGCAUCAACAUAUAUUUGGAGAGGCCAAUUUGGUCACCUUCUGGUGCUUAUAACAAUUAUGCUAGCUCCGAGACUGACACCAAGCAAAGUCACGCCGUCAACAAACAUGAUCUGGAUGGAUCUUUUGUUAUUGGUUGUCAAGAUUCAAAUGCUAAUGACUUACUUCCCUAGAAAAUUAUUCCUGGAAAAGGAAGUGAAGUUUUAGAGUAAGCAUAGCUAAGGAGUUGUGCAGGACAUAGGAUAGUACCAGGAAUAGUACCUUCAAGUUGAUUGAGAAACCAGAUGUAUAGGGCCAUAAAUAUUCUAAUGGCGAUUGCAUUGUUUGUAAUUUAAAUAUACAACCAUUCAAAGGAAUGUAUUGUGCAUGCAAAGGUAGUCUCAUGAAUUUGUUUAUUCAAGCACAUUUAUUUUAUUACA